GUGCCGUGUUUAAUUAUCUAUUUGAAGUUACAGUCAUGUGAUGUAGGGUCAUACAUUUUAACUGUGGUAGCACAUGGUAUUCUUUUGAAACAAUACAAUAUAUGUAACGCGGCUAAAAUAAGUGUCAAGGAUUUAAAACAAGAUUACACCAUAUUGACAUCGGACCGUAAUGGAAGAAUGUCGCAGGCGACUCCUGUCUCUUCCAAGCGUGUCACGCUUAACGGAAACAAUCAUUUUCUGGUUGACGUUUAUAAUAUUGCGCAAACAAACGCGUCAACACUGGCGACGGAAGAUCGUAUGAACAGAACUUCCGGUACUGGUCGUGAUCGGGAUUACAAUGUAUGGGAAGCAUCACGUGACGUGGAGAAUCCGUCGCAGUUACCGGGGGAGGCUAGCGUACCGCCGAAUAAAAACGAUGCGUAUUCUACUGAAAAGCGAUCAUAAUAGCAAAUGGCAGUGCCACGCGUAGUGAUGACACUCGGUCGGCGAGUUGGAAACAAGAUGAGGAAGAUCAUGGUGGAACGCGAAGCGCGUUUCGUAGGAGACCCGCGUCGUCGUUGUCAACUACUAGCAUCGAAAUUUUAAGCAGUUACAUGAACACGAAAGGGGCGGUGUGGCCGCUAUCGGAGGGAGACCUUGGGCCGGACGACCCGAACAACCCCGAUAACCGACCGAUCAUGUCCCGAGCGAGUUCCCGAGAGCCGACGGCGACAUCAAUGAGGCCGCCGAGGACGACGUAGAGGAGAAGCCGCUCGUUUGGCGAGAAUUGACACUUGAUCAGAUACUCGUGCUGUUUUUCACAAGCUUCACGAACCUGCUCGGUUUUCUGAGUCUGUCCAUUUUUGCGCCAUUUUUUCCGCUCGAGGCGGAUUUAAAGAACGUUAACACGACCAUUUCCGGUUGGAUAUUUGGCGUAUUCGCACUCGUCCAGUUUCUCAGCUCUCCACUGUUUGGACGAAUGGUUCGUACCCUGCUUAACCC